UGCCUUCAACACUAGAGAAGUAUUAAUUCAGCAGAAAAAUGUUCUGUAGAGGAUUUUCCCAAACAGUCAAGUCACCAAUUCAGCUGUGUUUGUCAAGCCCAUGAUAUAUAGGGCACAAAAACUGAUUGCAGCAGUUGCCUCACAACUCCCUGUGCUGAAGCAAUGACAGCAAAACCAAGGCAGCCAUGGAGUGAUAAUGCAAAAAAAUUUUAUCAGCCCAUCCCUCCAGCAACACGCUGUGUUCCAGCUCCUGCCUCGGAUCCUCUGCCUGGAUCUAAUGAGGAGAUGGACUAAAAUCAUGGAAAGCUGCAUCUCUUCUCUAUAUUUAGGUGGAGUUAUUCUAAUUUGCUGCUACUUCUGUAAGAAGAGAAUUUGAUCCACUCUGUUCUUCAAUGAAAUUCUUUGGAAGGCGGCUGCUGAUUCAGAAGAGAAAACACAGGGGGCUCUGGAGAGCAGGGGAGACUUCUGAGGAUGGGAAGAAAACAAGAAGUGCAAGGAGGAGGAUCAGAGGAACUACUGGCCUGUGACUCUCACCUCCCCAAGGACAAGAGCCCAGUUGAAAUGCAGGAAAUUCCACUGAAAUAUCAGGAAAACUUCUUUGCACAGAGAGGUUGUGGAGUUUCCAUCCUUGAUAUUGAACCUCUGGGUGGACAGUCCUUGACCCUGCUUUGAGCAGAGGCUUGAACAAGAUGCUUUCUAGAGAGAAAUCAGAAUUGAAAUGUGGCAUUUGCUGUAGCUAUUAGACUUGUUUAUUUAUGAGCUGUUACAUAGUUAUGAAGUAAAGAGAUUGCUUUUUCCUCUCUGACUUUAGUAUGCAAGAUAGUUCCACGUAAUCAGCAUUUUCAAUAAAGUAACAAUUACUGGAUGAUCUAUGGUUGUCCAAGUAUGAGCCUUCUGCUUGUCUUCAGCUGAGAAUCAAAUUACUGCAACAGCUUUAUUGAACUUCAAAUGAGGCAGAAAUAA